rnacentral:rRNA from 1 species
AACGAACGCUGGCGGCGUGCCUAAUACAUGCAAGUCGAGCGCAGGAAGUCGACGGAACCCUUCGGGGGGAAGUCGACGGAAUGAGCGGCGGACGGGUGAGUAACACGUAAAGAACCUGCCCUCAGGUCUGGGAUAACCACGAGAAAUCGGGGCUAAUACCGGAUGGGUCAUCGGACCGCAUGGUCCGAGGAUGAAAGGCGCUCCGGCGUCGCCUGGGGAUGGCUUUGCGGUGCAUUAGCUAGUUGGUGGGGUAAUGGCCCACCAAGGCGACGAUGCAUAGCCGACCUGAGAGGGUGAUCGGCCACACUGGGACUGAGACACGGCCCAGACUCCUACGGGAGGCAGCAGUAGGGAAUCUUCCACAAUGGACGAAAGUCUGAUGGAGCAACGCCGCGUGAACGAUGAAGGCCUUCGGGUCGUAAAGUUCUGUUGUAAGGGAAGAACAAGUGCCGCAGGCAAUGGCGGCACCUUGACGGUACCUUGCGAGAAAGCCACGGCUAACUACGUGCCAGCCGCCGCAGUAAGAC